UGGGGAAUAUUGGACAAUGGGCGAAAGCCUGAUCCAGCCAUGCCGCGUGUGUGAAGAAGGUCUUCGGAUUGUAAAGCACUUUAAGUUGGGAGGAAGGGCAGUAACCUAAUACGUUGCUGUCUUGACGUUACCGACAGAAUAAGCACCGGCUAACUCUGUGCCAGCAGCCGCGGUAAUACAGAGGGUGCAAGCGUUAAUCGGAAUUACUGGGCGUAAAGCGCGCGUAGGUGGUUUGUUAAGUUGGAUGUGAAAUCCCCGGGCUCAACCUGGGAACUGCAUUCAAAACUGACAAGCUAGAGUAUGGUAGAGGGUGGUGGAAUUUCCUGUGUAGCGGUGAAAUGCGUAGAUAUAGGAAGGAACACCAGUGGCGAAGGCGACCACCUGGACUGAUACUGACACUGAGGUGCGAAAGCGUGGGGAGCAAACAGGAUUAGAUACCCCUGUAGUCCCUGAGCGGGCUGGCAAGGCGCAU
rnacentral:rRNA from 1 species